rnacentral:rRNA from 1 species
CCUACGGGUGGCAGCAGUGAGGAAUAUUGGUCAAUGGACGCAAGUCUGAACCAGCCAUGCCGCGUGCAGGAAGACGGCUCUAUGAGUUGUAAACUGCUUUUGUACGAGGGUAAACGCAGAUACGCGUAUCUGUCUGAAAGUAUCGUACGAAUAAGGAUCGGCUAACUCCGGGCCAGCAGCCGCGGGAAUACGGAGGAUUCAAGCGUUAUCCGGAUUUAUUGGGUUUAAAGGGGGCGUAGGCGGUCGGAUAAGUUAGAGGUGAAAUCCCGAGGCUCAACUUCGGAAUUGCCUCGGAUACUGUUAGGCUAGAGAGUAGUUGAGGUAGGCGGAAUGUAUGGUGUAGCGGUGAAAUGCUUAGAGAUCAUACAGAACACCGAUUGCGAAGGCAGCUUACCAAGCUACUUCUGACGUUGAGGCACGAAAGCGUGGGGAGCAAACAGGAUUAGAUACCCGAGUAGUC